rnacentral:rRNA from 1 species
AACAGGAUUAGAUACCCUGGUAGUCCACGCCGUAAACGAUGUCGACUUGGAGGUUGUGCCCUUGAGGCGUGGCUUCCGGAGCUAACGCGUUAAGUCGACCGCCUGGGGAGUACGGCCGCAAGGUUAAAACUCAAAUGAAUUGACGGGGGCCCGCACAAGCGGUGGAGCAUGUGGUUUAAUUCGAUGCAACGCGAAGAACCUUACCUGGUCUUGACAUCCACGGAAGUUUUCAGAGAUGAGAAUGUGCCUUCGGGAACCGUGAGACAGGUGCUGCAUGGCUGUCGUCAGCUCGUGUUGUGAAAUGUUGGGUUAAGUCCCGCAACGAGCGCAACCCUUAUCCUUUGUUGCCAGCGGUCCGGCCGGGAACUCAAAGGAGACUGCCAGUGAUAAACUGGAGGAAGGUGGGGAUGACGUCAAGUCAUCAUGGCCCUUACGACCAGGGCUACACACGUGCUACAAUGGCGCAUACAAGGAGAAGCGACCUCGCGAGAGCAAGCGGACCUCAUAAAGUGCGUCGUAGUCCGGAUUGGAGUCUGCAACUCGACUCCAUGAAGUCGGAAUCGCUAGUAAUCGUGGAUCAGAAUGCCACGGUGAAUACGUUCCCGGGCCUUGUACACACCGCCCGUCACACCAUGGGAGUGGGUUGCAAAAGAAGUAGGUAGCUUAACCUUCGGGAGGGCGCUUACCACUUUGUGAUUCAUGACUGGGGUGAAGUCGUAACAAGGUAACC